rnacentral:rRNA from 1 species
UGGGGAAUUUUGCGCAAUGGGGGAAACCCUGACGCAGCAACGCCGCGUGAGUGAUGAAGGCCUUCGGGUCGUAAAGCUCUGUCUAGAGGAAAGAAAUGUACGGCAGCGAAUACCUGUUGUACUUGACGGUACCUCUGAAGGAAGCACCGGCUAACUCCGUGCCAGCAGCCGCGGUAAUACGGAGGGUGCGAGCGUUGUUCGGAUUUAUUGGGCGUAAAGCGCGUGUAGGCGGUUUUUUAAGUCUGAUGUGAAAGCCCCGGGCUCAACCUGGGAAGUGCAUUGGAUACUGGGAAACUUGAGUACGGGAGAGGGUAGUGGAAUUCCUAGUGUAGGAGUGAAAUCCGUAGAUAUUAGGAGGAACACCGGUGGCGAAGGCGGCUGCCUGGACCGAUACUGACGCUGAGACGCGAAAGCGUGGGGAGCAAACA